CUUACAUUUGUUGUUGUUGUUGUUUUUUUCUUCCUCUGUGUUGUUGCUGAUUUUUAUGUGUGAGCCUGAAUCAGCCUGCAGGCAGGAGGAUUGCUGGUGCACCUUUUUCUACUAAUGUCCAUGGAUAGAGUUGUCUGAACCACCAGCUUGUUCAGCAAUGACCUUUUGUAGCGUACCGUCCUUGUGAGGGUGACGAUGACCAUCUUCUAGACAUCGGUCCACUCAGCUGUCUUCCCCAUGAUUCUGCAGUCUACUGACACAGAGUCUUUUGGAGAAAGAGCAAGAGGAAGAUCCUGAGUGGAAGAGGAGCAGCAGCUCAGAUGAGGAAGCAAAUGGCUUCUCACUCACCACUCGCUGCAUUUUCAUCUCUUCUGGA